UAACGCGUGGAUAACCUGCCUCACACAGGGGGAUAACAGUUAGAAAUGACUGCUAAUACCGCAUAAGCGCACAGUCUCGCAUGGGACAGUGUGAAAAACUGAGGUGGUGUGAGAUGGAUCCGCGUCUGAUUAGGCAGUUGGCGGGGUAACGGCCCACCAAACCGACGAUCAGUAGCCGGCCUGAGAGGGUGAACGGCCACAUUGGGACUGAGACACGGCCCAAACUCCUACGGGAGGCAGCAG
rnacentral:rRNA from 1 species